CCUGCUUAUAGAGGCAUUGCAGGUAUGGCUGCUGUGCCACGUGUCAGUAGGUGGCAGAGGCGGGAGAGGCUAUGUCUAUGCUUAGUGUUCUGACCUGGGACCAUCUGGAUGAUUAGUAGCCUAACACU